rnacentral:lncRNA from 1 species
GAAUUACACUUGACAGAGGCAGAGGAAAAUGCCUGCAGUCUGCAGCAUAGGAGGAAAAAAAGCGUUUCUUGUCUUCUAUUGUGCAGUGCCCAUGAAGUAUAGCAUCAAGAAACUAAUGCAAAACUGCAGAGAUCUUUCCGUGAGAUAAUUGAAUAUAAAAUCAUGAUUGCUUUUUACAAAUUUGGAUUCAUCCCAAAUCCAUUGUUCUUCAAAGGCAGGAAAAGUGAUCAGAGAAAAGGUGGACGGUAACAACACUUCACCUUGAGCUGUUAGAAUACCAGCAUUUAGCAUAACUGAUAUUUGUUGCAAUUAAGCCAUGCUACGUUGAGUGCAAAUGGGCAACUACAAUGAGGACCACUGGACUUCUGAAGUUCAAGUUCUAUUCUGUCUGAAGACAAUUUCCCUGCCAGAGGUCAAACUUUAGCACACACAUGCCAACACAGAAGUCAUAGUCCUGCAUUACAGUAUGCAUUUGGAAAUUGCCUUGUGAAACCGUCAGAAUACAGAAAACACAAAGUUUAAACGUUUUGGAUGCCUUCUGUAAGGUAAAGCAGUACCUCAGCAGUGAAUCAGGAAGAUGGACAGCAUCGGUAAGAUUAUACUGAGCGGAAGGCAUGGUUUUUGUUUUUUAUUGAAUCCAUCCCAUAGUUAUUUUCCUAAUAAAACAACUCUUGUAAACCAGGGUCUUUGUAUGUUUGUUGUUGUUACAGGAGUUUUUUUUAAUACCAGUACAAUAGUUUUACUCUACAAUAGCGAAGAUGGGAAGACAGCUGCUAGUAAACAUAAAACUGGUCAUAUAAUGGCAUUACAAUGGAUUUUUUAUUUGAGAUUCCAGGAUGGGGUAAAUUUGUUACCCCAGCAAAUAGCUGGUUACAUGGAAAUUGACUUUAUAUAAUAGGGAACAUUUCUCUGAAAGAGAAGGCAACUUAUAUUGGUUAAAGCACUAAACACCAACACACUUCCUCUUUUUUGUCGUUUAUUCAAAAACAAAACAAAUCAGAACAUACCUAUGUGGUGUCUAGACAUCAGAACUUUCUAGUAAACCAUUCUUGAAGGUGUUAUAAUACCAUUCUUGAAGCAAUGAAAGGGCACAAAUGAAUUUUCAGCAGUGCAUGGAAGAUAUAAGUGGAAUAGGACAGUUUAUCUACCUUAUCUGCAGUUAUCUACCACUGGCAUCACUGAACUAAGAAAACUGAAAUCAUUUGGUCAUCUUGCUUGCCUUUGCAACACAAAAAGAUAAAUCUAAAAUAUUCAUAGAUGUAUUUGCAUAUUUGCCAACACAGUUCAUUCUUCUGAUUAUAGUGCUAUAUUUGUUAAAUGUCUAAAUGACCUUACAGGGAAAAAAAAAAUAGGUAGCGGUAGCAGCAGGGAAAGUGUAAUUAAACAUGAAAAACUUCACUAGGAUGGGUAGCACUAAACUUUGAAACUAGUCACCACUACAAUUUGCAAUUCUCUUUUGCUAGCGGUCCAUUGUGGCCCCCCAAAAGAGGCUCCCAGAACCUGUGAAUGUGACCUUGUUUGG